AGGUAUGUAGCUCAGUGGUAGAGUGCUUGUCUCACAUCCAUGAGGGCUUGGGUUUAAUCCUCAAUAUAGCCA
rnacentral:tRNA from 1 species